rnacentral:tRNA from 3 species
GCGGGAGUAGCUCAGGGGUAGAGCAUCACGUUGCCAACGUGAGGGUCGCGGGUUCAAAUCCCGUCUCCCGCUCCA